CAUAUCAAUAAGCGGAGGAAAAGAAACCAACAGGGAUUGCCUUAGUAGCGGCGAGUGAAGCGGCAAAAGCUCAAAUUUGAAAUCUGGCUCUUUCAGAGUCCGAGUUGUAAUUUGAAGAAGGUAUCUUUGGGUCUGGCUCUUGUCUAUGUUUCUUGGAACAGAACGUCACAGAGGGUGAGAAUCCCGUGCGAUGAGAUGAUCCAGGCCUAUGUAAAGUUCCUUCGAAGAGUCGAGUUGUUUGGGAAUGCAGCUCUAAGUGGGUGGUAAAUUCCAUCUAAAGCUAAAUAUUGGCGAGAGACCGAUAGCGAACAAGUACAGUGAUGGAAAGAUGAAAAGAACUUUGAAAAGAGAGUGAAAAAGUACGUGAAAUUGUUGAAAGGGAAGGGCUUGAGAUCAGACUUGGUAUUUUGUAUGUUACUUCUUCGGGGGUGGCCUCUACAGUUUAUCGGGCCAGCAUCAGUUUGGGCGGUAGGAGAAUUGCGUUGGAAUGUGGCACGGCUUCGGUUGUGUGUUAUAGCCUUCGUCGAUACUGCCAGCCUAGACUGAGGACUGCGGUUUAUACCUAGGAUGUUGGCAUAA
rnacentral:rRNA from 1 species